rnacentral:rRNA from 1 species
UAAAAAGUAUGUCUGCCUUCCAAGUAGAUCGUCUAGCCAUAGAGGGAGAAACGUUGAUCACAAAUUCGCAUUUUCAAAAAGAAACACGUACAGGACACCCGGACUCUCCAUCUCACAUUAGCCCAUAACUAUAAUCUCUCAAAAAAAAGUUGUCUUCGUACCUUUCGCAUUAUGGCUUUGUAAACCCUCAUGAUACUCAUAUUUUCCCGAAUUCCCACCGAGCUGCGGAGAUGCUGCUCAGCGCCCACCUCUAGGUGUUACACUACCUUAGUAAGACAUCACCGCAGUGGCUACAUACCUUCGCGGGGGAGCAUAGCUGGUUUUUGAUGAAAUCUUUCAGUAAAGUAAGUGGAACCUCCACUCUAACAAAUUACCGCGGACAAGCUCGGUAAUACUCUCUAUUUUCUCUCUAAUUACCCCUUGUAGGUUUCCCACCGGCCACCUAAUAUAACGUAACAGUGAAACUUGAAAUAAAACGUAAUACAAAAUGUCUCUUUAAUCAAACACGUAUUUAAACCCAUAAUCUGUUGAUUCUGCAAAGAUGAGUAUCUUUUUCUUCCUCCAUAAAAAAUCUAUAUCUACACAAAAGGAACUCGGCAACCCCGUGGCUCGACUGUUUCUCAAAAACAUUGCCGGAUGUAUCAUGAUAAUCGGUACCUCCUGCCCAGUGUCUGUCUAUCAGAUUAACGGCCGCGUUAGCCUGAGCGUGCUAAGGUAGCAUAAUAAUUCGCCCUUUAAUUGGGGGCUGGUAUGAAUGGACCCACGAGGCCACACCUGUCUCUUGUGUAAAGUUAAAAAUUAGGCUUUAGGUGAACACACCUGAAUUACACCAAAGGACAAAAAGACCCUGUUGAGCUUUAGUUCAAAAUUUAGCGCACAAAUUAGAAAACUUUUGUUGGGGCAACAGAGGUCCACCCAAAGCGACCUUUUGCUUACAAGGAAACGACAAAACGAUAAAAUAACGAAUAUGAAUCAAGCUACCACAGGGAUAACAGGCUAAUCUAUUCAAAGAGUCCACAUUGAUGAAUGGGUUUGGCACCUCGAUGUUGGCUCAGGGUUUCCCGCAGGUGCAGGAGCCUGCAAAGGUAGGUUUGUUCCCCCUCUAAGACCCUUCGUGAGCUGAGUUCAGACCGACGUAAGUUAGGUCAGAUUCUAUCCUUGGUGUACAACACCGCGUCCUCUUGUACGAAAGGACCCAGGACGCAAAUCGAGAUUACAUAUAUUGACUCAAUAUAAUGAAAUCUAACUAACAGCUAAUUAACA